rnacentral:rRNA from 1 species
CCGAUGGAGGGGGAUAACUACUGGAAACGGUAGCUAAUACCGCAUAACGUCGCAAGACCAAAGAGGGGGACCUUCGGGCCUCUUGCCAUCGGAUGUGCCCAGAUGGGAUUAGCUAGUAGGUGGGGUAACGGCUCACCUAGGCGACGAUCCCUAGCUGGUCUGAGAGGAUGACCAGCCACACUGGGACUGAGACACGGUCCAG